UACGUAGGGGGGCGAGCGUUGUCCGAAGUUACUGGGCGUAAAGCGCGCGUAGGCGGUUUCUUAAGUCUGGUGUGAAAGGUUCAGGGCUCAACCCGAACAGUGCACUGGAUACUGGGAGACUUGAGUAUGGGGAGAGGAGAGCGGAAUUCCUGGUGUAGCGGUGAAAUGCGUAGAUAUCAGGAGGAACACCGAUGGCGAAGGCAGCUCUCUGGCCCUGUAACUGACGCUGAGGUGCGAAAGCGUGGGGAGCAAACAGG
rnacentral:rRNA from 1 species